rnacentral:rRNA from 1 species
CCUACGGGUGGCAGCAGUGAGGAAUAUUGGUCAAUGGACGAGAGUCUGAACCAGCCAAGUCGCGUGAAGGAUGACUGCCCUAUGGGUUGUAAACUUCUUUUAUAAAGGAAUAAAACGAGGCACGUGUGCCUUUUUGCAUGUACUUUAUGAAUAAGGAUCGGCUAACUCCGUGCCAGCAGCCGCGGUAAUACGGAGGAUCCGAGCGUUAUCCGGAUUUAUUGGGUUUAAAGGGGGCGUAGAUGGGUUGUUAAGUCAGUUGUGAAAUUUUGCGGCUCAACCGUAAAAUUGCAAUUGAUACUGGCAGUCUUGAGUACAGUUGAGGUAGGCGGAAUUCGUGGUGUAGCGGUGAAAUGCUUAGAUAUCACGAAGAACCCCGAUUGCGAAGGCAGCUUACUAAACUGUGACUGACAUUGAUGCUCGAAAGUGUGGGUAUCAAACAGGAUUAGAUACCCCUGUAGUC